GACGAACGCUGGCGGCGUGCUUAACACAUGCAAGUCGAACGGAAAGGCCUGCUUUCCCUUGUGGAUUGCGGGUACUCGAGUGGCGAACGGGUGAGUAACACGUGAGUGAUCUGCCCCCAACUUGGGUAUAAGCCUGGGAAACUGGGUCUAAUUCCCGAUAGGACUGCAGGGUGGUGCCUGUGGUGGAAAACGAUUUUCUAGUGGUUGGGGAUGAGCUCGCGGCCUAUCAGCUUGUUGGUGGGGUAAUGGCCUACCAAGGCGGCGACGGGUAGCCGGCCUGAGAGGGUGGACGGCCACAGUGGGACUGGGAUACGGCCCAGACUCCUACGGGAGGCAGCAGUGGGGAAUAUUGCACAAUGGGCGGAAGCCUGAUGCAGCGACGCCGCGUGGGGGAUGACGGCCUUCGGGUUGUAAACUCCUUUCGACCGCGAGGAAGCCACCUGGUUGGAAGGGUGGUGACGGUAGUGGUAGAAGAAGCACCGGCUAACUACGUG
rnacentral:rRNA from 1 species